CUCAACCUGAAAUGCAGAUGAAUGCUUCUACAAUUUUGAACCUACAUCUACGUUUAUGGGAUUCCUAUAUUGCAGUUUGGAUGUCAAGCCUCCGUUUGCAGUGGAAGGCAGAAGAGCUGUUGCGGUUGCCCACCUAGCUUUCGCUAGGCGUCAAAAGUAGGAGUUGCAUUUUGGGCUUUUU
rnacentral:other from 1 species